ensembl:lncRNA
GUCAGGCUCAUCAACAGAGCCGAUCCCCCACUGACUGACUACAACACUCCACCGGUCACUCCCCUUCACACUCCACAUGUUAAAUAAAUGUUCCUGAUUCCUGAACAAUAAAAUUGUAUUGAUUUGUUGUUGCAGCCCUUAUAUGCCAUCUUUCUGUUUUGUAAAAUAUUGACUAAGUGGCUUAGUAGAAGAGUCGAGGGAAACUGGGGGGAUCAAGGAGGUUGCAAAAGAUGGAUGCUUCCUUGGGGUUAGAGAAGGAACAUGGAACUGUCCUAUAGAACAAGCUUUUGACAGCGGAAACGAGCUUGGUAAGCGAGCAGGUCGUCAGGGUGUUUUUCUGUUUGCUCACAUACCAGCCAGGCGCUGCUUCAGCUCCCACAGGUUCACGCUCCUCAAUGACCCCUGAUGACCUUUGUCGGCAUUUAAGGGAAACGACUUUGCCUACAGAAGAACCUGUGGAUGAAACCCUUUCCCGAGGAUGUAGAUUUAGUCUGUGCUCCGCGACAAGGACACUGAUUACAGUACAUUGGUGCCAAUGAUGGGAAUAGAGGACAUUGACCUUCCAAGACAUUGCGUUGCCAUUAGAUUGCUGAAGUAAAAAGUGAGUUUCUUGUACCCGACAGGGUGACAUGGCCCAUUUAUUGCCCACACUGCCCACGGAAUCUGGGAGUUCUCUUCGACGAGGAUAUGACCUUCAACUCGCAUAUAAAGAAGACUUCAAGGACUGCCCAUUUUCAUCUACGUAACAUAUCAAAAAUCAGGAACUUCCUGUCUCAAAGUGAUGCAGAAAAAUGAGUUAAUGCGUUUGUCACUUCCAGACUGGACUACUGUAAUUCUCUGUUAUCAGGCUGCUCUUGUAAAUCUCUUAAGCCUCUCCAGUUGAUUCAGAAUGCUGCAGCACGUGUAUUAACAAGAACUAAGAAAAGGGAUCAUAUCACUCCUGUAUUAACUUCUCUGCACUGGCUCCCUGUUAAAUCAAGAAUAGAUUUUAAGGUACUUCUCCUCACCUACAAGGCACUUGCUUGUGAGGCACCUUAUCAAGCUCCUCUUUUG